CGGAGCUGCUGCCCUGGCCGCGGCCCGCAGCAUUGCCGCGGCUCCGGAGCCGUGGGGCACCGGGAAUUGCGGCCGUGGGAGCGAUGCCUUGGGAAGGCUGACUUGGAACAGAGGCUAGAUGGAGUUAGAGAAUGAAGGAACACCGGGAAUGGGACCAGGAACACCGGGAACUGGGGCGGGGAACACCGGGAAUUGCGUUCAGGGAACACCGGGAAUUGGGGCCGGGAACACCGGGAAUUGCGUUCAGGGAACACCGGGAAUUGCAGCCGGGAGCACCGGAGCGCCCAGAGCCGCCGUCCCGCCCUCACGGCCAAGUGCUAUCCCUAAAACCCAGCUGCUCCUUGCUAACAUCUGAGAUAAACACUGGAAAAAUUCAACUCUUUAUAAGCUUUAAGUCUUUUAAAGAACUUAAAUCUGGAUCGAACCUCAAAUCUGUGCGAUCUAAAAUGAAAACCUUUGAUAAAGAUCAUGGAAUGUUCAUUAAAUAAAUCAUAAUUCCCCGCUUC